AACACGUGGGCAACCUGCCCAGAAGCGGGGGAUAACUUGGGGAAACUCGAGCUAAUACCGCAUACGUCUUCGAGGCCUUGGUCUCGAAGGGAAAGCUGGCCUAUACAAGUAAGCUGGCACUUCUGGAGGGGCCCGCGUUCGAUUAGCUUGAUGGUGGGGUAACGGCCUACCAUGGCGACGAUCGAUAGCCGGCCUGAGAGGGCGAUCGGCCACACUGGGACUGAGACACGGCCCAG
rnacentral:rRNA from 1 species